rnacentral:rRNA from 1 species
UACGAAGGGGGCUAGCGUUGCUCGGAAUUACUGGGCGUAAAGCGCACGUAGGCGGAUUGUUAAGUCGGGGGUGAAAUCCUGGAGCUCAACUCCAGAACUGCCUUCGAUACUGGCGAUCUCGAGUUCGGGAGAGGUGAGUGGAACUGCGAGUGUAGAGGUGAAAUUCGUAGAUAUUCGCAAGAACACCAGUGGCGAAGGCGGCUCACUGGCCCGAUACUGACGCUGAGGUGCGAAAGCGUGGGGAUCAAACAGG